GAUGAACGCUAGCUACAGGCUUAACACAUGCAAGUCGAGGGACCGGCGCACGGGUGAGUAACACGUAUCCAACCUGCCCUUUACUCGGGGAUAGCCUUUCGAAAGAAAGAUUAAUACCCGAUAUAAAGGAUGGGGAUGCGUUCCAUUAGGUUGUUGGUGAGGUAACGGCCCACCAAGCCUUCGCUGGAUCGGGGUUCUGAGAGGAAGGGCCCCCACAUUGGAGCUGAGGCACGGUCCAAAAUCCGACGGGAGGCAGCAGUGAGGAAUAUUGGGCAAGGAGCGCUAGCCUGAACCAGCCAAGUAGCGGGAAGGAUGAAGGCGUAGGGGUCGUAAACUUCUUGUAUAUAAGAAUAGGUAUUAGAUGAAGAAGGAUCGGCUAACUCCGUGCCAGCCGCCGCGGUAAUAC
rnacentral:rRNA from 1 species